rnacentral:rRNA from 1 species
UACGUAGGGUGCAAGCGUUGUCCGGAAUUAUUGGGCGUAAAGAGCUCGUAGGCGGUCUGUCGCGUCUGCUGUGAAAACUCGGGGCUUAACCCCGGGCCUGCAGUGGGUACGGGCAGACUAGAGUGCGGUAGGGGAGACUGGAAUUCCUGGUGAGGCGGUGAAAUGCGCAGAGUAUCAGGAGGAACACCGGUGGCGAAGGCGGGUCUCUGGGCCGAUAUUGACGUGGAGGAGCGAAAGCGUGGGAGCAAACAGG